UGCAAUGAUUUCAUGGACUUGUGCAUGGAAGUCACCGUAUCGGAUGACACUACUGAUGCUGCUAGCACAUUGUCCACGUCGACGGACACUGUUUGUGAAGAAACAACUGUAGUCGAGUUCGACCAUGCAUACUGCAGCACUGUCUCUCCAAUCACUAUGAAGUCUGCAUGCACUCAAGUUAACAUGACAGAAAUAGCUGGAAGCUGGUAUGCUAAAAAUGAUGAUCCGGAUU